rnacentral:rRNA from 1 species
UCCUACGGGGGGCAGCAGUGAGGAAUAUUGGUCAAUGGACGGAAGUCUGAACCAGCCAUGCCGCGUGCAGGAAGACGGCUCUAUGAGUUGUAAACUGCUUUUGUACAAGGGUAAACCUGAAUACGUGUAUUCAGCUGAAAGUACUGUACGAAUAAGGAUCGGCUAACUCCGUGCCAGCAGCCGCGGUAAUACGGAGGAUCCAAGCGUUAUCCGGAUUUAUUGGGUUUAAAGGGUGCGUAGGCGGAAUAUCAAGUCAGCGGUAAAAAUUCGGGGCUCAACCCCGUCGUGCCGUUGAAACUGAUGUU